AUCCUCAAGCGGAGAAGGCUGUAUCUUGCUCGCUGAUUCGAAGUUAUUACUUUAUAGUUAUCGUGGGAUAUCCUUCCAUUGUUCAAGAAACACGAGCCAGAUACAGUCUCACCGUUUGAGAUGGCAAUGGGACGGGCGGAGGGAGUUGCUGUUUGCAGCGAUGCUGGGCGUACCGCAGAAUCAGGGACCCCAUGUUCUCUAGUCUCUCUACGUCUUUCAUUGGUUUGGUUUGUAAACUGUAUCGGAACCAAUGCAUUUCUCUUUGCAAUUUCGUGUAAUCAUAUAUAGAGUUCGAGUUAUUGGUAAAAUCGUUCAAACAGCGUGUUUCAUUCGAUACUUUUAUUUUUUCUUUUUUUCAGAAAAUAUAUGGCAGUUUAUGCAUAGAACAUUGCGUAUUUGUAUAAUGUAAUUUAAAGAAAAUCUUGUAUACUGCAUUUUUUAACCAAUAGAUACUUAAUAUGGUGUAGCGUCAUGAGAUAUCAAGGAUUUUUAUACGUAGAUUUUGUACAUGUUGUUUAAUGUUAAUUCAAAGUUUUGUAAAUAUUGUGAUACAGCAGAGAACGGCAGCGGAAGGAAUGAAAAAGAAUAAAUGUUGGAAAAAGACCAUUGACAAUUUUUUCUAUGUUCAUUUUAAUUCACGCCGUAUUAAUGCCAAAAAUCCUUUUCAGUCCGGCAAUACACCUAACAAAAUUCUAUCGCACGCAAGAGACCUGCGCGCACACGUGUCCAGGCUGUGCUGGUCGGCGACGCGACGCCACGCCACGCCACGCUACGCUAUUCGGCCCUCUGUCUCUCUGUAUGAAAUAAGGAGUGGUGAGAGGAAUUGGUAUUGGGAUGAACAAAGGAGGGGGGCGCACUCUUUGUUUCUAGAAAUUCGCGCUGAAGUUUCGUGGCUGAAUCACACACACACGAUCAAGUGGUCGUCACGUCCGUACAUAACAUCUCACGUUCGCGCUCUUCUGUAUCUUGAUCAUCCGAGCAUCCGCUAGUUCCAAAACCCGUCGUCUGGCGCGUGAUACACAUAGGCUUACUGUGACAAACUGCAGCAAAACUCGAGCAAGUCCUGUUUGGUGAGCUAAUCCCUUUUCUCCGUUACCUGCGCAAAUGUAUUUUCUCAGGUCCAGAAAGGUUUUUCCAAUCUUCAUACUGCCAACUUGCACAUGGGUUGCUCUGGCUUAUUCACGCGUACCAUUCGAAGUCGACUAAGCUGGACACCCAAACAAACAGCUCUGCACACAUUGCCCCAUUUCAAUUAGGAUAAAGAGCCUCGAGGUAUGGAGUUACUCACGAAUGCAUGUCUCUUGAACCUAGAUGAUCCGGAAAGCCAAGAAUUACAGCAAGUAACAACCUAAUUUCUAUAUGGGCAUGUUAUACAUGUUAUCAAAGGCUCGCAAUUUGAGUAGGAAAUUGCCAUGAAAAUUUUUUAACGAGCGUUAUAUCAAGAUACGUCUUUUAAGCAUUAUCAUGCUAUUCGAUACUUAUAUUUCCACAGAUUUCAUAUUCCUUAAUUAUUUAUUUGGUGCUAGAGCAAGAAGAUCUUCGUAAUAUGUAUAUUAUUAGAUUAAUAAAUAAAACAAUUCCCGACGAGGUGCGCAGAAGAGUUUCGAGAGUAAAGAAUAAACGAAAAAAAAAAAGAAGGGAAAAAAG
rnacentral:lncRNA from 1 species